AUUUGCAGCCCUUGAGGACCAAAGACGCUGCAAUAACCUCAAGAUUCGAGGUGUCCCAGAUAACAUCCCGACGGAGGAACUCCCACACCUGAUGAGGAGGCUCGCGGGAGCACUACUGAAGCUACAACAACGAAAGCAUUGAGCUAUGAGGCGAUCUUCAGACUCCCUAAACCGAGGAAGGCCCCAGACGCGGCCUCCAGGGAUCUGGUGGUGAGGUUCCGAUCCAGAACAGACAAAGCGGCUAUACUCACGGCCCUACAGGGGAAAAUGCCAACCUUACCUUUUUUUCCAACUUGUCUGGAGACACCAUGCAAUGGCGCAGAUCCCUACAGCCGUUCAUAACACUCCUGAGGCAAAACGACAUCACCUACAGAUGGCGCACACCAAGGGCCCUACAGGUCCUGAAAAACAACCUGAUUCACACAGUCAAAGACCUACCGGAGGCUGGGC